rnacentral:sRNA from 1 species
CUCUGAAAGGAACUCUAAAGGCUUGGUGUGUGUUUAAGCCGCGUGUGCAAUCCUCAUCUGAGGACUUGAUUUUACCAGGGCAGCAGUGGGUAGUGAUUAGUCAAAAACUCCUCCUCCUAUAAUCUUCCCAGAGGAGCCCAGACUUUCAGCAUUCAGGGGCUCUUCAAGGCCAUACCCCAGUGCUGCUCUCAGGUUGCAUGGUGUCCUGGUUUGCACCUAGAGAGUCUUGGCGGCUGCUUCUGAUACUGGAAGAUCACACAGCAUUGCUCUGAGAGCUGAUCAAGAGGCUUAAGCUGCACCUCAGGAGGAUUUGGGGUUGGACCAGCUUUUGAAGGAUACCUGUGGGACUUGGUUUUAGCAGGGUGAAGGGCUGGGUCUCAUCCAGAAGCUUACAGAGAUGUCUACUGACCAUCCUUCUGAAGAACCGGAGAUCCUCUCACUUGAAGGAGGAUGUGUGGCGAGUGAUGAAGAGGGCCAUUCCAGGAUGGAGUUGAAACCCUGUGUUGUGGGCUGGAGGAGAACCCUACUGGCCUACAACCUUUUCUGGUUUCUACUGUGUUGAACCACUGAGAUUUAGAGGCUUACAUAUGAAGGUGGUCUAUAGUCUUCACAUCUGAAACAACUGGAUGGACAAACCUUUGGGAACUACAAGUCUGGGAGAGCUCCUUCAGGAGGAAAGAAAGGAAGGAGCUGUCCAUGGUACAUCAGCAAAUAGUUAAAGUGAGCAUGAAGCACUUGCAGGUUGGGGGCUAGAUGGGCAAGCUUGCCCUAGAGAGCUAACAUUCUUUCCUGGUACAGGAAGACUGGAUAGUCUCCACCCUGGCCUGUGGGCCUCAUCCCCUUGUCCUUCCACACUUCCAUAGGUGUCUUUCGAACCCAAGCCCAGCUCAAUUGUUACCUGCCUUCUCUGACCCUUCAUCAAUUUCCAUGCUCCUAAGCACAUCUCACAGCAUUCACUGCCUGGUGCUGCUAGCCUCUGCCUGUGUCUAUCUCCCUCAACAGCCCUGAAGUUUUCUGAGGAGGGGGGAUACCUGCUGUUUGCGUUCCUGGCACCAGCAGAGGCCUAAGGCACAGUGCAGUGGCACAUUGCUUAAUUCUGAGAAAUGGCUCAUUGUGUCACUUCCUCUUUGCAUAGAUAGAGUGUAUUUAUGGUGUAUUUAUAAAAUUAAGGUGUUAUUAGAUGAUAUAAUCUUAUAAAAUCUCCUUCAUAAGUAUGGCCCAUUUUGUUGAGUGAAAUUUCAUAUAGUUCAUGAUCAGAGUUACAAAGUAAAAUUAUUGAAAUCACACAACAUUUACGUCCUCUCCUAGUUCUAGAGGCUUUCUUAUGUUUUACCUGUAUUCUCUCUCUCUCUGUCUCUCUCUCUCUCUCUCUCUCUCUUUCUCACACACACACACACAUACACAAAUGCACACACUUAUGCUUACACACCCACACAUGCACACAAACACAAACAUACCCGUGUGCACAGACACCCCAUUCUCUGCCUCUGAAAGGCCUGCACAGCUAGGAUAAGCACUACUGUAAGCCGAUAUACCCAGAUAUUGUGGCUAGGUCUUCAUAUGAAAAACCACAGCCCUGUGGAGUAGGAUCUACCACCCAGCUUUAUUUGUAGAGACUGAUGGUCCAGAGCAGUCAGGCAACCAUUCUGAGCUUCACAGAGAAAACUGCAGAAUUAGAUGGAGCUCUGCCCUGCCUAAUCUGUGUCUCAGGCCUCUCCACAGACAAUACUUUAAGCUAGCUUAUUCAGCAUGUCCUACUUACGGGAGCCCAUGGUUUGAGGUUGUCAACACUAUUGAUGGUCUUGAUGGAAAAAUUUCCUAAUUUUCUGGGAUGCCCUAAAGUCACAUACAGCCUAGACUAGGGCUUGACAGCUUCAUCUCUCAGUGACAUCUGCCUCUGCAUAUGGUCCCUACUCCACUGUUGGGUAAGCCACAGUAUCAGUCUCUGCUCAGUCUGCCUCUGGCUGCCAUGCAAAGACUUCUCUUGGAUUUUGGGCCCAAUUUCCUCAUGAUAUCUAUUGGAUCUUACGUGAUAAAGACAAAGACAAGAUCUGCCUGCAAUAAACACACAAGACAGAAUUCUUCUGCAUCCUGCCCAGGGAUCAAGUAGAUCUCAGCCGUAUGAACGCCCAGCAUUGGCUCUAUCAUUCUUCAUACAAUUUGCUGUGCCUUCGUUCACUUGCUCCUGUUGACAUCAUUAUCUAUAAUGUUACUCUUUAAAGAUCGAAACAACACCCAUGUUAAGUUUGAAGUCAUUUAGAAACCAUUUCUGCUCCUACUUCCUUUACACAGCUUACUGUGUGGAGUCUCAGUGGCUAAGGGACACCUACUGUACAUACAUCACUGAGAACAGAGGUCAGGCUUAAAGAAGCAGAGUUUAGUUGGGGAGGAGAAGAGGCUGGGCUGGGCUGGGCUGAGAGAAGCAGCCACGUGAAGCCAGAGAUGUGGCGAUGGCACUGGAAUGAUCACAGCAACCUUCUAAGCAGUGUAUCUUCCAAAGGAGCGGGAGCUCUUUUGCACUGGAAUGCUGCAGUGGCAGGAAGAGGCUACCCCUGCAAAGGGAGCAAGGUGAGACUCCUAACUGUUCUGCAUCCUGUUUUCUGAGUUUACAGCUUCACUUUCUCUACCAGGAAGAAGAAAGACGGUCCUCCUUCUAGAAGGGAGAACAAAAUACUCAUGGGAGGAAAUGCAGCAACAAAGGGA